AAUUCUGAUACCUCAUUCUGUUGUUUAUCAAAUUUUUUCUCAAAGGCACAUUUUUUUUUUUGACAAAAUACAAUAGACCGACCGAAUCCGCGAAAGAGUAGAACAACAACAACGUUCUUUAAUUUCCGUUUCCAAUAAUGAUAAAGCGAGAGUGCACAUACAUUGCGCCGUUAAUUAACCACAAAAAAAAAAAGAAGAAAAACAUAAUAAUAAAGCGAAUUAAAAUAAAUCCCUAAUUACGAAAGAAAAAAAAAAUAUAUCAGCAACCAAUAGAAGAAUCGAACCUACAUUAGAAAACUUGGUGAUACCUUGGACAAUAAUUAGAACUAUAAAAUAUAAAUCCAAUUGAAAUGUCUCGAUUGAGCCCUAAUCAUUCGAUAAAACAUCAAUUCGCCCAAUGAAUUCACAAUUGAAAAUGCCCAGAGAUGCUGGUAGGCACGCAAGAAACGAAGAAUUGGCACAGCUAGCCGAUCAAAGCACGAGAAACGUAAAAAAACCGUCGAAGACAAAUAAAAUCUAUUCAUUAAAAAUGUGUAAAAGAAUUUCCCGAGUGAUGUGAUGAUUGAGCUAAAUAAGCCCACUAUAUCGUAGAAACUAUCCUACACUAUUUCCUAUCAUUCUCGUCUCUCACACGCCCUUGCGUUAUCUCAAAUCAAGGCGUUCCUUCUUCAUCAUCAAUAAAAAGUGAAUAUGUAUAUCUUAAAGGUCUACCUAGUGCUUAAUUCCUACACGUAAUAAUCUCCAGAUGGUCAAUGACGGUAGCUCUGUCUAUAAAUUUCGUUCUCAUCCUCUAAAUAUCCAACAAAUGCCAAUGUUUUGAUAUACAUUUGUAUCAUAAAAUCAAUAAAAUCCCUACCGCCAUCGGUGUUUAUUAUCAAAGGCCCCGUGAGGCAGUACUUUAACGUUAUUAAAUCUUAUUCCAAUGAAAUAGCUAUGCAGAGUCAAUUCGAUACUAUCAUUAUCGCAUUUCAUAUCCUAUUUGUAAUAAUUAAACCUUACUCAGCAUUCCUAAUAAUAAUUGCUUAUAAAUUUUAUUUAUAAACUACUUAAUCACUAUUUGUAUUCAUUUCCCCUCUCACUACUCAACUAAUUACUUUAGUUUAUUAAUUUGUUUUUUUUUUCUAUUUAUUCAUUGUUUCAUCGCAACUCCGUUACCCCGAGUUUGCAGUAUCAAUCGAAAUCGAAUUUAAUUCACUCGAAAAACAAUUUUUCAUGAGUCGCAAGUAGAGCCUCAAGGUCAUAUGAUUCUCAUUGUUUUUUUUUACCGUGUACACUAAUCUGACGCAUUUCUUCUUGAAAUAUGAAAACAAAUUUCAUUAAUUCUCAUCUCGUUUAUACCUAGUAUUUAAAGGCCACAUGUUUUUUUUUUUAUCUUCCCCGACACUUUGAAUAUCAUGAAUGAUAAACAACGCUUGCAAGACUGCGUGAACUCUGUGUACAACCCAUUGAACUCUGCAUUGUAUUCCUGUUGAUAUCUGUCUAACCUCAAACAACUCAUUUAAAAAACAACGAAAAUGAUAAAUAAACUAGUUGUUUUGUGUUUUUUCCCCGUUAUCUUACUGUUUAGGAGUAUAUGAAGUUUUUUUUUUAUUUAUUAAAAUUGGUUACUUUACUUCUGUCUCAUAAAUAUUGUCUACGGUUUAUGGAAAUUCGGGCAGAUCGUGGCACGUGGAUUGUGUGACGUUGGGAAUAUGGGACCCAUUGUAUCUCACUGAUUUCAACAAUCAUUGUUCAUUUAAUUAAUUGAUCUUUGCUCACACGAUAAUCUCGCAAGUUCUCACUGUCACGCACUUCACUUAUUACCUACAAAUAUGCCUAGUCAACGUCAUUGAAUAGUAAUCACGUUGGUUUUUCUAUUUCAUAUAAUACUUGUUGCGUCUCGUUUAUUCCGAGAACAGCUGUUUGAUUAGAUCGCCGCAAUACAAUUGGUGGCGCUUCAGAUGGAACGUCAUUUGUCACGGAGUUCCUGAGUUUUUUUUUUGUUAAAAAAAAAAGGGGGUGAAGAUAUGGGAUAGCGUCUGCUGAGGGAUUGUAUGAGAGAACUAAUAAUUGGGGAUUGCAUUUUAUCCUGUUGCAGUCCAUUUCAAAACAUCAAGAGCCAUUCGUUAAAAAUACGUUAAAAUACGUAUGCUGGAUUUUUCUGGGAAGAGAGAAUGGUUCAGCAAUGGAGGAAUUAAUGCCAAGUCCCAAUAAUCGGAACCCCUCGGUCACAGAACUCUCCUCAGUGAUAGGAUUCUACGAUUAAAGGAGUUGUCAGUUGAAUGGAAACUGGAGAACUUUCGAGUUUAAUCAGUGAAUCGCGAUUAAUCCGUAUUAAAUCGACCUGACUGAGCAUCAAUACUACUAUUUCGUAUACUCGUUAUAAAUUAAAAAAAAAACAGUCAAUCACAAAUUGUGUUUGAGUGGGAGACAUGAACUGGAGGAAUAUCUUAACGGAAAUCGCUUAAAGAGCUAUCUACAAGUAUUUAUAUAAUAUAUAUCCUUUUGCUUUUUUUCAUUUCCUAUAAAUAUAUACUUAAAUGCAUCGUAGGAAUCUGCAGUUACUUGUGGCAGUCUUCGGUUUUAUAUUCACCCUGAUAAUUUGGAGGGGGAAUUUAACCGUUCACGUAUAACUGAGGAUUAUAAAUUACUUUGAGUUGACUAAAGAGAAUGGAAAUGUGUUAAUUAUUACAUGGCGGUCGAUGAUUAGGAGAACACGGAAUGGACUAUGUACGUUUAUUGAAUGUUUGUGUGCUAGAUCGCUCUUGAUUGUCAGGUCGAUUCAAUGAUUAUAUAUUUUUCUUAUUCUCACUUGUUGAGUCCCCAUUGGCGUCACACGUGUACGAUCGUGUCCGGUUUUUAAAAUAUGGAACCAGUGUGACCAGAAUGGUUGCUAUGGAAGAGCUCCGGUGUCUUUUUUCUUUACAGUUAAAUGUUAGUUUCAUUUUCUUUUUUUUUUUUCAUCUGCCGGACGGUCGCGGUGUCACCCAGGGCUGUCCACUUUUCUGCUUUUUUCUUUUUUCAAAACAAUCUAUCCGCUCUAAAUUCCUCUAGAUUGUGCAAACCGGACGAAGUCAAACCUGCCAGAGGUUGUUCGAGUUUAUUCAAAUCCGCCAUCACCGGAAUCACUCGUCAAUUUAUAUAAAAUAAUUUAUCUCGAUUACAUCGAGUCUCAUAGACCAACACAAAUAUGAUUUUUUCAUUUAAUGUUAAAGCCUAGUGUAGUACGUUUCAGAGUUUUUUUUUAUCAUUUUUUUUUUUCGGUGACAGCACCAGGGACAGCACGACGCAUUUAGUCUCUGAGUUUGCAUCGGUACAUCUCGCGAAGUUAGAAUAUUAAUUUCUAAAUUAAUUAAUUAAAAAAAAAACCAAGCUCGAAUGUUUGUGUCUUCAUUAUUUCAUAGGAAAACGAGACGUCUUGCUGCUUUAAGCGUCGUACACCAGCGACGAUAUAAACCCCUUACCCUAGUACUUGAUGAUAAAAUCCAUCAAAAUUCCUAAUAUCUGCGUUAAUGAAAUGAUACCCUAAAUCGGCGUUAUGUCUUUAUGAAAAAUCUAGGUCACGUCGUUCGAUCGCCGAUAUUCACAAACCGAGAUGAUCACCCUGAAUCAAUCGGCUUCGCAAUCAAAAUUUAAUAAUAAUACGCGUAAAGUAUUUUCCCACUCAGUCACGGAAUUCGAACUUUCAUUGCUUUGUAUCUCCCAAUCAUCCCUCUCGCAUUAUACAAAAAUGAUUAUUAAAAUCAUCAUGGAAUAAAAAAAGAAAAUAGAGGAAAAAAAAAAAUCACAACGACUCGGAAGUGUCGCUCGAGGGCCCGGAAGACCAGCCACCGGCUUUGUCCCCCACCC